rnacentral:rRNA from 1 species
GAGUAGUAAAUGUUUUGGACAGGAAACUUAAAGAAUUUGGCGGUGUAUAUUCUAAUUAGAGGAAUAUGUUUUUUGAUUGAUACUCCCCAUGUAUUUCACUUAAAUUUAUUUAUUUUGUAUAUCUCCGUCUUAAAAAAACUUUUUAAAAUAUUUUUUAUUUUUUAUAAUUUAAAAUAAGUCAGGUCAAGGUGCAGAUUAUAUUUAAGUUAAAAUGUAUUACAAUAAAGUUAUUUUUGGACUAAAAUUUAAAUUGUUUUAUCAAAUUGGAUUUAUGAGUAAAUUUUUUUAUAUAAUAAUUUAUUGAAUUGUGUUAAUAUGCAUGCACACAUCGCCCG